GCCGGCGUAGCUCAGAGGUAGAGCAGUUGAUUCGUAAUCAGCGGGUCGGUGGUUCGAUUCCACUCGCCGGCCCCA
rnacentral:tRNA from 1 species